CCAAUAGCGUAUAUUAAAGUUGCUGCAGUUAAAAAGCUCGUAGUUGAAUUUCGGGACCAAUAUGUCGGUCGUGCCUCGGUACGUACUGGCAUCGUUGGUUUCUCCUUUCUGAAGAACCAUGAUGUCAUUUAUUUGGUGUCGUGGGGAAUCAGGACUGUUACUUUGAAAAAAUUAGAGUGUUUAAAGCAGGCUCACGCUUGAAUACAUUAGCAUGGAAUAAUGAAAUAGGACGUUUGAUUCUAUUUUGUUGGUUUCUAGGAUCGACGUAAUGAUUAAUAGGGAUAGUUGGGGGCAUUAGUAUUCAAUUGUCAGAGGUGAAAUUCUUGGAUUUAUUGAAGACUAACUACUGCGAAAGCAUUUGCCAAGGAUGUUUUCAUUAAUCAAGAACGAAAGUUAGGGGAUCGAAGACGAUCAGAUACCGUCGUAGUCUUAACCAUAAACUAUGCCGACUAGGGAUCGGAUGAUGUUAAUUUUUUAAUGACUCAUUCGGCGCCUUACG
rnacentral:rRNA from 1 species